rnacentral:lncRNA from 1 species
UCCGGCUGAGUCUUCUUAAAAAUUGCAUCGUUCUUGACCGUCCAAAUAACCCACCAGCAGACAACUAGUCCAGCCAUCCUGCUACGUAUAGACUGAGAGUCACGUCUAGCAAUCCACCGAUCCCAUAUUGAAAUCACCUCGUCACUCAAAUCACUAGACUCAACGAGCUCCCUGGUCAUCACCAAAAUAAAUCUGGAGAAAACACACCGUGUGAAUAAAUGAUCGACAGUUUUCUCUUCCAUCCCACACAGAACAUAAGUUGUGCUGCCUGUCCAACCUCUCUACAAAAAAUUAUCAGCUGCUUGUCCAACCUCUCUUCAAAAUAUUAUCA